rnacentral:lncRNA from 1 species
GGCCUCCUGCCUCCGCUGACCUUCCUCUGGCAUCAGGAGCACCUUUGCAGGCAGCGGGUGAGGAGCCGCUGUGCAAACUGAGCUAGCACCGGGGCUUGGCGUGGAUCCCACGAGGCUGCUUAAAAAAUGAAGAGGGCGGCUGAUGGGGGUCUGUCAAGCCACAGCGUUUGUGUUCAUCAGCGUCUUGGGGGAAGCGGAGAUGCCAGCUGCCUGCAAACAUCUGGUUUGGGUUGUACCCUCCCGCCCCCCUUGCUUUUUGCACGACUUGCUUUCUCUGCUUUUGUAGAGUUCAGCAUCUCCGACUCCGAAUGUUGGAUCUGGUGGGGGAAACGCCUUGGUUUCUCCUCGUCCUCUCGAGUACCGCAGCCCUGCCAGCAUCAUGGCUCGGAGUCCAAGCGAGGGAAGCCUGAGCAGUAAAAAUCCUACGGCGUGGUUGCAGGUUUCUGAAGGAAAAGCUCUUUCUGUGUGGGGCUGGGCUCUGGUUAAUGUGAUGCCAGCACGGGAGGGAAAGCCACGGGCCCUCCGUGCCGAGGGAGGAAGUGUUUCCAUGCCACCCAGGUCAGGAAAACACAAGCGGUUAGAGCAGAAGCAGCCCCAGUAGAGUUAAUUAAGCGUUGCAUUUAAAGGGUGGCACUGAAUGGAAUUGCUCUGCGUUUUUUGAAGCUGGCCUCUCAGCUCCCUGCCGUGCCGUGAGGAGCCCCGUGCAGCACGAGCGGGGGAAACCCAGGCUGCCUUCAGCUGCCCUUGGAUAUCCCUGAGCUUCCAGGCUGCAGGAGAGGCGUUGGGGAUGGAAAGGCAACCCGGAGCAGUGCCGGAGGGCGCAGUGGUUGGGAGUUUCUCUGAGCAGUGUUUUUUUGCUCACCAGCCAGCUCUUGGCCUGCCCGGUCAAGGAAGGAUGCAGAAGCAGAGCAUCCCAUCCUCUUCAUCCGUUUUCCCAUCCUCUUGACUACAAAAUGCAUCUAUAAAAGUGUCUUCUGCUGGACACCAAACGAACCAAGCUGGUACAUCCCCAGAGCAGGGUGAUAUCUCACACUCGGAUCCUGCUGAUAUCAUUGCCUGGCUAAUUAAGCGAGGGCUGAAUAAUCCGAGCAGAGCCCUGUGCUUGUCCAGCUUGGCCAAGUGCAGACAUCCCCUAGAGGCUGUGGCUUGGCUGUCACUGGGGUUAGGAACCCGUGGCUUGAACUAACGGGUGCGGGUGACGUUGAGGGAGAAAAACUCCAGGUAAUCUCGUUUGGUGUCUUGACUGCGCCUUGCUAGAGGGGAAUUUUGUUCCACUAAAAAAUAACGCGGCAAACGUGCGCCAAAAGGAGCGGGUUGAUGUAUAAAGCAGAGCAGGCUCCUGCUUUGAGCAUCGAAACAGAGCUCCUGGCCUCACCUGGGCACGUUCCCCACCGCCGGUGUUUCAGUGGGAUAGAUUAUGUCUCUGGAGUUUGGCGAUAGAGAAUGACUUGCAAUAUUUCAGGUUUUCCUCAGGUCGUCCUUUCGCUUGCCUGUCUUCUCCCUUCAAUCUCCCGUGCUUCUGAUGGCUGACUUUAUUAUCUUUGCUAUUUCUAACCCUCGGUUUGGUCCCCGUUGGAGCUUGAUUUCUGCUGGGGGGAAGAUAGAAAAGGUCAGGCUCUCGCUAGCGAAGCUGAUUUAAUUUGUUUGCUGCAUCUGUGUGCAGACUUGCAUGCAUGUUGUUAGCGUGAGGCACCAGGACCAGGAUCCUCAUGGACACAUGGGUCCUGCUUAUUUAUUUACCUCUUUUCUACUCUGUUUUUUUUUUCUUUUUUUUUCCUCCCACCUGGCCCAGUAUUCCCAGUUUUACCUCUUCUACAGGAGAAGAGCUUAGUGGGCUCCAAGCAGUAAAUAAAUCUGACAUUUGCGGCA